rnacentral:lncRNA from 1 species
GUAACGCCUAUUUAUGCAAAACAUAAUAUCUGGGUAACACGGCUCUUGGUAUUACAAUGAGCUUUAUUGCAAGGUACUUUCCAUAAACUCUUUUGAACGUCCGCUUUCUUUCACGAUGUAUAUUCCAACGCCUUUAUACAAUGCCAUAGUAUCUGGGUAACGACGGCUUUUUUUAAAUAUUACAAUGAGCUUUAUUUCGAUAACGCAUUCUAUGUAAAUUCACAUAUCUUAGUAAAUGACUGAUACAUAUUUAAAACUUUUUCUGUAAAGUGAAAACAAUUCGAGUAUCUGGAUAAUGGUCCGAUCUGUUCACCCAGCCAAAACUAUUUUGUUUUAAAGCCAGGUGGUGGUGUGAUGUUUUGAGAGGGAGGAACGUGUUGGGAUCCGGUAUGCAUGCUUGCCUAUCAUUAUGUCGGGCUGACGUUUGGUGUUCUUUCGAGUUGUCGGGAACGCCCUUUAGGAGUUUUUUUUUACGGAGUGCAUACAAAACGAUCAGAUGUGUGAGCCUAUUCAUUCAUGGGUGAGGCUUAUUAUGCAAAUUAUAGAACUUGGUAAAUGAUAGCAUGAUGGGUUCGGUUUGCACGAACAGUUUAUUAGGUUGCCGAACUGGUGUCGUUUGGGGGAAUUUGGUUUAUUGGGAUCGUGUUUUUAUUUUUAAUUAGAAGGUGCGUAUUGUAAUUAGGUACGCGGGCCGGUCAAUUCACUGUAAUGCAUUUUAGGAAAAUCAUUUAACUUAGUUAUGACGAGCGGGUUCCGUAAUACAAUUCAAGGCAUUUGUUAAGGGAUAAAAGCUCUUUGUAUUUUGUUUUUGUUUUGUUUAAUUAGAUUACGGUUAUAUAACAAUACAACGUAUUUCUCAUCGACUUGUGCAAGAA